GUGGUGGCUCAGUGGUAGAGUGCUUGCCUGGCAUGUGUGAGGCACUGGGUUCAAUUCUCAGCACCACA
rnacentral:tRNA from 2 species